rnacentral:ncRNA from 1 species
UUAAAUUUUAUGAUACAGAAUAGUAAAUAUAAUAUGUUGUACCAAGCGAGUUAGUGGUGGUGAGAGACUAAUUACAGUAUUAUAUUGAAUGGGCUGUUGAGAAUGAGUGCGAAGUAGUAGUAGCACUUCACGGGAUUCCACCGUUAAAAGGAUAGGAUAUCGAUAGCACUCAUGCUAGUCCGUAUCUGAAAGAGGCAGUUAAAAUUAGAUUAUAAAGUUUGUAUCUAUAUAUUGUAAACUGUAUUAAUUGGGUGGUACCACGAGCAUAAACUCGUCCCAUAC